ACUCCUACGGGAGGCAGCAGUGGGGAAUUUCGGACAAUGGGCGCAAGCCUGAUCCAGCAAUGCCGCGUGCAGGAUGAAGGCCUUCGGGUUGUAAACUGCUCUUGUACGGAACGAAACGGUCCUUUCUAAUACAGAGGGCUAAUGACGGUACCGUAAGAAUAAGCACCGGCUAACUACGUGCCAGCAGCCGCGGUAAUACGUAGGGUGCGAGCGUUAAUCGGAAUUACUGGGCGUAAAGCGUGCGCAGGCGGUGAUGUAAGACAGAUGUGAAAUCCCCGGGCUCAACCUGGGACCUGCAUUUGUGACUGCAUCGCUGGAGUGCGGCAGAGGGGGAUGGAAUUCCGCGUGUAGCAGUGAAAUGCGUAGAUAUGCGGAGGAACACCGAUGGCGAAGGCAAUCCCCUGGGCCUGCACUGACGCUCAUGCACGAAAGCGUGGGGAGCAAACAGGAUUAGAUACCCUG
rnacentral:rRNA from 1 species